GAGAAGGAAGAACUUGAAAGGAAGGAAAGGGAAGAAAAGAAAUUGUUGACAAUAUCUCCUAAUCUAGAACCCAAAAGGGGAGGUUUUCUAUCCUUUAACUUUCCUUCAUUUGAUAUUACAUGUUCCAAAUUCAUCUUUUCUUUCCAAAACAUUGCCAUCACAUCUUUUCAAAAGUUGCAAUCUUUAACACAUGGCAAUAAAAAACUUGAGUUAGAGAUAUCUUCCAAGAUAUCAUUAACUCAAGUCAAAAAUAAAUUUUCAAAUGAAGUAGGGUUUUCUUAUACUAAUAAACAUGAAAAUUUUAAAAUUAAGAAACCUUCUUCUAAAGAUACUCUUUUAUAUACUUUGGGUAAUAGAAAACUAAUUAGUGUUAUGUUUGAUGCUUAUUGCAGAUUUACUUUUGAUCCAGGAGGACUUUGUAGAGAGGCAACUAAAAAUAAGUCCUCAGAAGAACCAUCCAGAUUUGAGGACAAAUCCUUUCCAAGAGGGAGGGGAUGAUACGCGGGCCCAAAGCCCAAUGUCUUUAGUAUAGCUUUUCUUUUAUGUACUUUGUAUUGUGUUAGGCAUGUCACCCAUAUAUAGGCAUGCUAACA
rnacentral:lncRNA from 1 species